rnacentral:lncRNA from 1 species
GCUUUAGUCCUUUUUCAUUAAGUUAAUGGAGUUGAAAGUCUUGAUGACUGGGCAAAAAGCUUAUCGCUGCCAUUGUCCUAGUCUGAGUUUGGCUGUGAUGUCUGAUCUUGAACUUGAAAAUUGAUGAUGUAUCUUUUCUAUAAUAUUGCAGGAGUGUUCAAGGAGUUUAUCCAUAGAUGGUGAUGUAGUCAGUGAAUUACAAGCCAUGGUUAUGCAC